AACCAUCCCUGUCAUCCUGCGUCUCUCUGGAAAUCACCAGAGAGACAUAAUCAACUGUCCUUACUCUCCCCUGGUUCUUGGCCAUCCUUGGUUAAAGCUACACAACCCACAGAUUGACUGGACCACUGGAAAGAUUGUGUUUGCACUGAUGUUCUUCAGUGGGGCCAUUCUACCUACCUCACCUGUCACCCUGGUAUGAACUGGACCCUCGCUUUCCUGCAUCAGCACUUUUGGUGGCCCACCAUGGAGAGAUGUCCGGGAGUUUGUCUGAGCCUGUCCGGUUUGUGCCCGGAACAAAACCUCCACUAAACCCACUUCCGGUCUGCUCCGCCCUCUUCCCAUACCCAGACGCCCUUGGUCACACAUAGUCUUGGACUUCGUCACUGGCCUUCCCCCAUCUAAUGGUAUGGAGAUCCUUCUGUUCAGCUCUUGGUAUCAAUGUCAGUGUUUCUUCUGGAUAUCACCCCCAGACCAACUGCCAGACUGAACGGGCCAACCAAGAGAUGCAGACUGCCCUACGCUGCGUGACAUCUGCUAACCCUUCCACCAGGAGCACUCA
ensembl:lncRNA